UACGAAGGGUGCAAACGUUGCUCGGAAUCAUUGGGCGUAAAGCGCACGUAGGCGGCUUUGCAAGUCGGAUGUGAAAUCCCGUGGCUCAACCAUGGACGUGCAUUCGAAACUGCAAAGCUUGAGUAUGGAAGAGGGUCGCGGAAUUCCCGGUGUAGAGGUGAAAUUCGUAGAUAUCGGGAGGAACACCAGUGGCGAAGGCGGUCUGCUGGGCCGUUGCUGACGCUGAGGCGCGACAGCGUGGGGAGCAAACAGG
rnacentral:rRNA from 1 species